rnacentral:rRNA from 1 species
CCUACGGGGGGCAGCAGUGGGGGAUAUUGCACAAUGGGGGAAACCCUGAUGCAGCGACGCCGCGUGGGUGAAGAAGCGCCUCGGCGCGUAAAGCCCUGUCAGCAGGGAAGAAAAUGACGGUACCUGAAGAAGAAGCCCCGGCUAAAUACGGGCCAGCAGCCGCGGUAAUACGUAGGGGGCAAGCGUUAUCCGGCUUUACGGGGUGUAAAGGGGGCGCAGACGGCGAUGCAAGCCAGGAGUGAAAGCCCGGGGCCCAACCCCGGGACUGCUCUUGGAACUGCGUGGCUAGAGUGCAGGAGGGGCAGGCGGAAUUCCUGGUGUAGCGGUGAAAUGCGUAGAUAUCAGGAGGAACACCGGUGGCGAAGGCGGCCUGCUGGACUGCAACUGACGUUGAGGCCCGAAAGCGUGGGGAGCAAACAGGAUUAGAUACCCUUGUAGUC